CCCGCCCGCCCGCCGUCAGCGCGUGCGGAGCGUUGCGUCAGCGCGCACGAGCCCGCCCGGCCCGGCCCGGAACCUUCACGGCCGCCGGGAGCGCGCGCGGCUUCCGGCCGUUCAACCGUCAUGGCGGGAGUGGCGCCUCAGGAGCGGCCUGAGGGGCGGGACGGAGCCCCGGGGAGCUUUUCCCAGAAGAGAUGCUGCUCUUCUCAUAUCCUGUGGAAACAGAGGUGGUGCUGUACCAGCCGAGCAGAUUCACUCACUCAGAAUCACUUUCUGCUUCCCCACUUUCUCACAGGAGACCAUCGUCUAUUAUUUUUGUGGCCUUUUGCCUUUUUCAGGAGACUGAACUGAGCGUGUCAGGGCAGACCAGUAUCAGCCAGGGCAGACCAGUAUCAGCCAGGGCAGACCAGUAUCAGCCAGAGCAGCUGCUGUGGUUUUUCUGUUUCUCUCAUGAAAUACAGAGGAAUAAUUAAAGAAAAAAUUAGUAAUCUGGGUCUGUGGGCUCCUUUUGCAGACAAUACUUGAUUAAUCUCUGCAAUCAUGUAGCCAAAUAAGAAGAGAUUAACCGACAUCCUAAUCUAUCAUAAAUCAAAAAGGCAGGGAGAUGACCUGUCUUGCCUUAAGAGACAAACAUUACAGAGAGCCUGCAUUAGGGUUUAGCCUACAUUAGUCUAAAUCUAAUAUUAAGCCCACAUUAGAACUAAUGGAUUUUUAGACUGUACUUCAAGUCACUGCAACCUGUGAUGUGCUACAUGCAUCUCACACUGCAUAUACCCGUCAUUAUUGCUGAUUGCACCAAUGCACGUCAGUAACGGAUCAGAGAACCUCAGCUCGAGCAGUGGGUUGCAGUGGGACCAGAAGCCCUCAACCAGCAGAUUUUUGUUUGGAAAGUCGAGAUCUGCCAGCUCAAUGGAGAAGCACGAGGGGCCGGGAGAAUUGGAAAAGCAGCAGCUUGCCUUCCACAGGAAUGCAGCACGUGUUAUGGUUUCUGGUGAGCUUUCUGUAAUUUGCAGAUCAAAACCAAACAAAAUCAAGCAAGCAAAUCUUUUUCAGGGACAUUCUGGAUUUCCUCAGGCUAUAAAAAUGUUCAAGCCUCUAAAUAUAUCAGACCUGUUUUCCUGCAUUCCGCGUCUAUAGCCUACCUGUACCCUGAAGCUAAGAUGAAAUCACUAUCUCACGCUGAUUAUUCCUAAAAUGUUCCAUUCGCAAGCUUUCUAAAACAAUUCCUCCCCAAAUUCUCUUUUGGAACAUAAAGGACGCAAAUAAGGGUCAAGACAGAAAAUGUUACACGUGGUAUUUUUCUAGGGGUAGUGUGUGAAAGAUGCAAACGCACAAGUGUAAAAGAGAGACCAAAGUUACUCGUAAGUGUUGAUCUUAGCACCGCCGCCGUCUCCUUUUCGUCAGAAAUGUCACCACAGGUGGAACUGUAAAGCACGCGGUUAUAGCUAAGGGCCCAAAUAAAGAUGUGCUGCUGCAUAAAGCUGUAA